rnacentral:tRNA from 1 species
GUUUCUGUAGUGUAGUGGUUAUCACGUUUGCUUCACACGCAAAAGGUCCCUGGUUCAAAACCAGACAGAAACG